GUCCCUGCCCUUUGUACACACCGCCCGUCGCUACUACCGAUUGAAUGGUUUAGUGAGAUCUUCGGAUUGGGGCCGGCGCGGUCGGCAACGGUCGCGGCGGAUUUCGAAAAGUCGUUCUAACUUGAUCAUUUAGAGGAAGUAAAAGUCGUAACAAGGUUUCCGUAGGUGAACCUGCGGAAGGAUCAUUAGCGGGAGCUCCCUUUGGAGUCUUUCCCCCGUGCACUCGGAACGGCUGGAGGGGCGCGGCGCGAGUGGCAUUUGCUACACGGUCGAGCGUUGGUUCGCGCCGCACUCUCCUGGCCGGGGGUUUGCCUGGGCCCUCUUGUUGGUUGUGUAUUGGAGGGGGGAGGCAAUUAAAGUUGUGUGGUCCUGCAGGCGGUCUGCGCUCCGAGGGCGUCAGGCCGCGUGCCUUCUCGCGCCCCGAACGUUGUCUCGAAAACUGUGGUUGCGGGACUUUGUUCAAGAGACGUGGCGUUUGCCACGCACAACUUCUAACGGUGGACACCUCGGCUCGUGUACCGAUGAAGAGCGCAGCAAGCUGCGAUACCUAGUGUGAAUUGCAGAAUUCAGUGAAUCAUCGAGUUCUUGAACGCAAAUGGCGCUUUCGGUAAAGCCGGGAGCACGUCUGUCUGAGCGUCCUUUACUGAAUAUAUGUUCAAUGGGGUGUCGCUCUGGAGCGUCUCCUUAAGUGCGCCAUACAAGAAGAGUGGCUGGCACUUGUCAUCAUGAGUUUGUGUCAAGGGCCGUCACACCUUGUGGCGACAUGUUUAAAGUUGCCAGAUGGACCUCAGAUCAGGCGAGAUUACCCGCUGAAUUUAAGCAUAUCAAUAAGCGGAGGAAAAGAAACUAACCAGG
rnacentral:rRNA from 1 species